rnacentral:rRNA from 1 species
GUUGACCUCGGAUCAGGUAGGGAUACCCGCUGAACUUAAGCAUAUCAAUAAGCGGAGGAAAAGAAACCAACAGGGAUUGCCUCAGUAACGGCGAGUGAAGCGGCAACAGCUCAAAUUUGAAAGCUGGCCCCCUCGGGGUCCGCGUUGUAAUUUGUAGAGGAUGGUUCGGCGAUGGCUCCCGUCUAAGUCCCUUGGAACAGGGCGUCACAGAGGGUGAGAAUCCCGUAUGCGAUGGGCUGCCUUAGCCGUGUGAACCUCCUUCGACGAGUCGAGUUGUUUGGGAAUGCAGCUCUAAAUGGGAGGUAAAUUUCUUCUAAAGCUAAAUACCGGCCAGAGACCGAUAGCGCACAAGUAGAGUGAUCGAAAGAUGAAAAGCACUUUGGAAAGAGAGUUAAAAAGUACGUGAAAUUGUUGAAAGGGAAGCGCUUGCAGCCAGACUUGUCCGCAGUUGCUCAGCCCGUCUCCUGACGGGCGUACUCUUCUGCGGCCAGGCCAGCAUCAGUUCGGGCGGUCGGAUAAAGACCCGGGGAACGUAGCUCCUCUCGGGGAGUGUUAUAGCCCCGGGUGCAAUGCGGCCAGCCCGGGCUGAGGAUCUCGCUUCGGCUAGGAUGCUGGCGUAAUGGCUGUAAGCGGCCCGUCUUGAAACACGGACCAAGGAGUCUAACAUCUAUGCGAGUGUUUGGGUGUCAAACCCAUGCGCGUAAUGAAAGUGAACGGAGGUGGGAACCCUCGCGGGUGCACCAUCGACCGAUCCUGAUGUCUUCGGAUGGAUUUGAGUAAGAGCAUAGCUGUUGGGACCCGAAAGAUGGUGAACUAUACCUGAAUAGGGUGAAGCCAGAGGAAACUCUGGUGGAGGCUCGCAGCGGUUCUGACGUGCAAAUCGAUCGUCAAAUUUGGGUAUAGGGGCGAAAGACUAAUCGAACCAUCUAGUAGCUGGUUCCUGCCGA